rnacentral:rRNA from 1 species
GAUGAACGCUGGCGGCGUGCUUAACACAUGCAAGUCGAACGAAGCACUUAUCUUUGAUUCUUCGGAUGAAGAGGUUUGUGACUGAGUGGCGGACGGGUGAGUAACGCGUGGGUAACCUGCCUCAUACAGGGGGAUAACAGUUAGAAAUGACUGCUAAUACCGCAUAAGACCACGGAGCCGCAUGGCUCAGUGGGAAAAACUCCGGUGGUAUGAGAUGGACCCGCGUCUGAUUAGGUAGUUGGUGGGGUAACGGCCUACCAAGCCAACGAUCAGUAGCCGACCUGAGAGGGUGACCGGCCACAUUGGGACUGAGACACGGCCCAAACUCCUACGGGAGGCAGCAGUGGGGAAUAUUGCACAAUGGGGGAAACCCUGAUGCAGCGACGCCGCGUGAGCGAAGAAGUAUUUCGGUAUGUAAAGCUCUAUCAGCAGGGAAGAAAAUGACGGUACCUGACGAAGAAGCACCGGCUAAAUACGUG